AGGUAGCCAACGUUACGCUCUAUCUCCAUAACGCAGGUAACCAGCUUUACGCUCUAACUCCAUAGCGCAGGUAACCAGCGUUACGCUCUAUCUCCAAGUUCGGCUCGAUUGGUUCGGUAAAAAGUAUAAAAAAAAACAAAAAAUAUUAUAUUUAGAAAAAAUGGAAAAGUAACACAGAUGGUAAAUCGUUUGCUUAGUAUGCGAGAGGUGGAUUCGAUCCUUCAUGUCUUUAAAUUAUUUAUUUUAACUUGCAGAUUAAAUUCGAGCCCGAGCCUGGAUAACUACUUAACGAGCCGAGCUCGAGUCUGGCUCUAUAAGCAUUGAUACCCUAUCCAUAGCGCAGGUAGUCAACGCUACGCUCUAUCUCCAUAGCAUAUAGGUGUCUCCAUAGUGCAGGUAGCCAGGUUUAAGUUCUAUCUCCAUAGCGUAGGUGUGAACUCAAACCUUGACUUAAAAUACAGGAAAAUUAACUGAAUUGUUUGCAUUGAUAAAGAUGAAAGAAGAUGAUUUGGUAAAAUAUUUAUUGUGAUUUGGGAAAACAGGAGAUCAAAGUGGGCAUUUGAUCGAAGUGAUUAAUUAGCAAAUGACAUUAAGCUUGGUCGGAGGAGGAAGAGGAGGAGCUUUGUCGUAUUUCCUGCUGAU
rnacentral:lncRNA from 1 species